rnacentral:lncRNA from 1 species
CAUAUUGCCUUUCCUUUCCAACACCACCUCUAAGUCCAUGUUUGUUUCCUCCUUCCAAGGGUCUCCUGCUACCCCACUCUCUUUCCUCUUAUUUUUUUCUUCCUUUUCAGAGCCGGCUCCUCGGUGACCUUCUUCUUGGACUUCAUCUUUUUCUUCGCGGGGGCCUUAGGGCCAUCUCCUAUGGGGAUAUAUUCCGGAGCCUCAACUUUGACUGGUUUAGUUUUACUUCCUUUAUGGGGGCUGCUCUCCAAGGACCUGGAGGGCUUGGAGUGGCCUGGGAGGAGGUCUCCCUCCUGGUGGAAUUUUUUUUUUCUUCUUCACCUUCCCACUGUGUUCCCUGGGGCUCUUCUGCUUCUGUUUCUGCCCCAAGGUUGCCUGUUCCUCACCCUCCUUCCCCACUGAGCAAGUGUCUGCAGCAUCCCGGCCUUGCAGAACCAAGGGUCCUGGACUGAGAAGGCUGUGGGGUCCUGGGCCCCCUAUUUUUUGC